GCAGCUGGUUGGUUCACUGCUGUUGCACUCAGCUACCUGGGAAGAACAGGGAAGUCUCUUUCAAGUUCUGUGAAUCUUUUUAGUUCUUAUUUAACAAAUGUCUUUAUAUUGGGAAGAAGAAAGGGUACACCCUUAGACUUGUAGCAGUUACCAUACAUGUUAAGGGAAACUCUCCACUUUUUGAAGAUCCAUUUUUAAAUGUACACUGAGGGAAAAUGCUACAGUGUCAAGAAGAGCUAUUUUUCUUGGUGUCACAGUGACUUAGUCCUUGCCGGAAAGUUACCUAUGUGAUCUCUACCCACCUGGAAGAUGAAAGAUCUGCUGCAAAGAAUGAUAGACAAAAGUGAGUCAUGAGAAAAGAACUCACAGAGGUCUUCAGAGAAUCAACACAGUGAUCAUCUAGGGUCCAAUAUGAUUCCUCCAUACAAAGAUGCCUUAUGAACAGCAUCUAGGGAGUGCGCGUGUUCUUAACUAUGGUGCUACAAUGACCUUAUGCCAGCAUAAGCCGGCCACUGACUUCUUGGGAACAGAGGAUUGCUUGGAUAACUGGAUACUGCAUCUUCUACAUAUUUCAACCACAAGCAGCCCAUUAUUGUGACAAAUGGCAGACUUGCUGAAGCAUUUUGCUGGAUUUUUAAUCACUCCUAUUAGCACAUUUCUUGUAAUCCCAAUAUUUGUUUUUGAUUAGGAUAAUGUGAGAUCACAGAUGUUUGUGUGUAUGCUUCAUCUGAAUACAAGAAACAUUCCACUUGGAGAUGCAGAAAGGCAGCCUUUGUAUUGGGCAGCGUUUCAGAAACUGAGUCAUUUAUUUGCAGAGCUUACCAUAUGUGUUUUUUCUUUGCAUGUUUUGGAAAAAGAAAACAUAUUAAUGAGGCAUUAGCAUAUCUGUGACAACAAAAACAACAAAAGGCAAUCUGUAGCCUUGACAAAUAGCAUGAUGCACCACUUAUUAUUAGUCAAAUGACUGCUAUAAAGAUAAAUUUUGCUUAUCAUAGUUUUGGCCAUGUUUUCUCAGUACAGAAUCAGCCGGUUGACUCUUCCCCACCCCUUUCACUGUGAGCUAUACAGAUCAGCUAAUUUUCUCUAUAAAGCUAACAUCCAUUUUAUUUCCUAUAUUAUAUCAAGACUUCAUAUAGGUCUAAACUAGAAAUCCACCAAGCAUGGAUCCAAGAUUAUACUUAGAUACAGUCUUUUCAGUGGUGGCUUCUUUCGUGUGGAAUUCUUUCUGAAAAAUAUAUAGACGGCUCCAUCAGUUAUGGUUUUAAGUUUUAAAUUUUUUAAAAUCUGUUUUCCAUGGAUUUUAAUUGCUGAUUUUAUUGUAUAUUCUUCUGUUGGAAUUUUUAUGACAUUUAAAAAUAUA